rnacentral:rRNA from 1 species
UGCUAGUUGUACGAGUUCAGACUCGUAGCGAAUAGCUCAGUAACACGUGGCCAAACUACCCUUCGGAGCACGAUACCCUCGGGAAACUGAGGCUAAUAGUGCAUACCACACUCACUCUGGAAUGACGAGUGUGUCAAACGCUCCGGCGCCGAAGGACGUGGCUGCGGCCGAUUAGGUAGACGGUGGGGUAACGGCCCACCGUGCCGAUAAUCGGUACGGAUGGUGAGAGCCAGAACCCGGAGACGGAAUCUGAGACAAGAUUCCGGGCCCUACGGGGCGCAGCAGGCGCGAAACCUUUACACUGCACGACAGUGCGAUAAGGGGAUCCCAAGUGCGUAGGCAUAGAGCCUACGCUUUUGUACACCGUAGGGAGGUGUACGAAUAAGGGCUGGGCAAGACCGGUGCCAGCCGCCGCGGUAAUACCGGCAGCCCGAGUGAUGGCCGAUUUUAUUGGGCCUAAAGCGUCCGUAGCUGGCCGCACAAGUCCAUCGGGAAAUCCACCCGCUCAACGGGUGGACGUCCGGUGGAAACUGUGUGGCUUGGGACCGGAGGGCGCGACGGGUACGUCCGGAAUAGGAGUGAAAUCCCGUAAUCCUGGACGGACCGCCGAUGGCGAAAGCACGUCGCGAGAACGGAUCCGACAGUGAGGGACGAAAGCUAGGGUCUCGAACCGGAUUAGAUACCCGGGUAGUCCUAGCCGUAAACGAUGCCUGUUAGGUGUGGCUCCCACUACGAGUGGGUGCUGUGCCGUA